rnacentral:rRNA from 1 species
GAUGAACGCUAGCGAUAGGCUUAACACAUGCAAGUCGAGGGGCAGCAUGGUCUUAGCUUGCUAAGACUGAUGGCGACCGGCGCACGGGUGCGUAACGCGUAUGCAACUUGCCUCACAGAGGGGGAUAACCCGUCGAAAGACGGACUAAUACCGCGUACACUCCAUCUUGGGCAUCCAAGGUAGAGGAAAUGAAAUUCGCUGUGAGAUAGGCAUGCGUCCCAUUAGCUAGUUGGUGAGGUAACGGCUCACCAAGGCGACGAUGGGUAGGGGAACUGAGAGGUUGAACCCCCACACUGGUACUGAGACACGGACCAGACUCUUACGGGAGGCAGCAGUGAGGAAUAUUGGGCAAUGGGCGAGAGCCUGAACCAGCCAAGUCGCGUGAAGGAUGACUGUCUUAUGGAUUGUAAACUUCUUUUAUACGGGAAUAACAAGAGUCACGUGUGACUCCCUGCAUGUACCGUAUGAAUAAGCAUCGGCUAACUCCGUG